GACGUAGGGCGCGAGCGUUGUCCGGAUUUAUUGGGCGUAAAGAGCUCGUAGGCGGCUUGUCGCGUCGUUCGUGAAAACCUGCGGCUCAACUGCAGGCUUGCGGUCGAUACGGGCAGGCUGGAGUUCGGUAGGGGAGACUGGAAUUCCUGGUGUAGCGGUGAAAUGCGCAGAUAUCAGGAGGAACACCGGUGGCGAAAGCGGCGUGCUGGACCUCUUCUGACGCUGAGGCGCGAAAGCCAGGGGAGCAAACGGG
rnacentral:rRNA from 1 species